AUGGCGCUCGCAUCCGGCACCACGGCCCCCCCGCUCCUCGGCCGCCUCCCGGGCACGGCGCGCCCCCACCUCGCCGUCUCCCCUUCGCCCUCCGCCCCUGUCUCCUCGGUCCGCUUCGCCGCCCGCGCCGGAGGCUCCCGCGCCGUCUCCCUCCGCGCCUCCGCGCCUCCAGCUGCGACCGCAACGCCUGGUAGCAUUGCACCAGCUAUCUCAUUGACAGAGAAGGCCUUGAAGCAUCUGAAUAGAAUGAGGUCCGAAAAGAAUGAAGAUCUCUGUUUGAGGAUUGGAGUUAAACAAGGUGGAUGCUCUGGCAUGUCUUACACCAUGGAGUUUGAGAGCCGAGGAAGCGCCAACCCCGACGAUUCAGUCAUCGAGUAUGAGGGUUUCACAAUAGUCUGCGACCCAAAGAGCCUUCUCUUCAUGUUUGGAAUGGAGCUGGACUACAGCGACGCCCUCAUUGGGGGCGGCUUCAACUUCCAGAACCCAAACGCGACGAAGACGUGCGGGUGCGGUAAGUCGUUUGCGACCAGCAAGGAAAUGCAGAGCACAGCAACUGCCUGCAACAACUGA
rnacentral:rRNA from 1 species